rnacentral:rRNA from 1 species
GAUCCUGGCUUAGGAUGAACGCUAGCUACAGGCUUAACACAUGCAAGUCGAGGGGUAGCAGGGUAGCAAUACCGCUGACGACCGGCGCACGGGUGAGUAACACGUAUCCAACCUUCCCAUAACUCUGGGAUAGCCUUUCGAAAGAAAGAUUAAUACCGGAUGGUACUUUUUCAAGGCAUCUUGAGAAAGUUAAAGAUUUAUUGGUUAUGGAUGGGGAUGCGUUCCAUUAGAUAGUUGGUGAGGUAACGGCUCACCAAGUCUUCGAUGGAUAGGGGUUCUGAGAGGAAGGUCCCCCACAUUGGUACUGAGACACGGACCAAACUCCUACGGGAGGCAGCAGUGAGGAAUAUUGGUCAAUGGGCGAGAGCCUGAACCAGCCAAGUAGCGUGAAAGGAUGAAGGUCCUAUGGAUUGUAAACUUCUUUUAUAGUAGAAUAAAGUGACCCACGUGUGGGUUUUUGUAUGUAUACUAUGAAUAAGGAUCGGCUAACUCCGUGCCAGCCGCAGC